GAUGAACGCUGGCGGCGUGCCUAAUACAUGCAAGUCGAGCGAACAGAUGAGGAGCUUGCUCCUCUGACGUUAGCGGCGGACGGGUGAGUAACACGUGGAUAACCUACCUAUAAGACUGGGAUAACUUCGGGAAACCGGAGCUAAUACCGGAUAAUAUAUUGAACCGCAUGGUUCAAUAGUGAAAGACGGUUUUGCUGUCACUUAUAGAUGGAUCCGCGCCGCAUUAGCUAGUUGGUAAGGUAACGGCUUACCAAGGCAACGAUGCGUAGCCGACCUGAGAGGGUGAUCGGCCACACUGGAACUGAGAGACGGUCCAGAAUCCUACGGAAGGCAGCAGUAGGGAAUCUUCCGCAAUGGGCGAAAGCCUGACGGAGCAACGCCGCGUGAGUGAUGAAGGUCUUCGGAUCGUAAAACUCUGUUAUUAGGGAAGAACAAAUGUGUAAGUAACUAUGCACGUCUUGACGGUACCUAAUCAGAAAGCCACGGCUAAGUACGUG
rnacentral:rRNA from 1 species